AGUGUCAGAGUUCCGGUGUGAGAGCGUGUGCAUGAGAGUGUGAGUGCGAGUGAUACAUCUUCUUUCAGCGAGGAUCUUCGUGAGGAGUCUGUGGAGCCAGCGCAGGUGAAGCUGAUCUGCCUCAUCAGCGUGCUGGAAUAUAGGAGCGGCAGAACCCUUCAGUCUUCGCUAGAUGGUUAACGCAUACCGGAAUUUUUUGUCUUCACGUUUCAAGAACUUGCCGAGAAUACCUGCCUGCCUGCUCCGCCGUUUCCACCGACCCCAUCUCGCUCCUACCACCAGCGAUUCCGCCUUGCACUCCCUCGCGCCAGACCCUGGCACCUCAUCCCCACGCUCUGAAAGAUCCACGCCAAAUGCCACCUGGUCGGGCGACCCUCGCCCUCCUGCCGAAGUCCAGAGAACUGAAUAUAAUUUGUCCUGUUGUAAAUAAAUCACUUACCUUUUCCA